GGGGCCAGGUGCGGAGACCAGUUUGCGGCUCGGGGCGGGGGCUCUUGUGGGCGGGGCCUCUUGUGGGCGGGGCCAGGCGCCCCCCGGGAGGCCCGCGGGGACCCCGGCGCGGCCGGGACCUGGGCGGGCGGCGGCGGCUCCCUAGCCUCGGUCACCUCGGCUGCAAAUGGGACUAUUACCCAGGGGCCCGCGGGAGUCCCCGGCCCCCAGGCCGAGCGGGGCCGCCCCGCAACCCCGCCGGGCUGGCCCGGUUUCCCGGCGGAGCGCCCGUGCUCUCCGCGGCCCAGACCCGCCGCCCCUGCCUCGGGGGACCUGCCGGGUUAGCGCCCGCUGGCGGGGGAGGUCGGGGCGCUGGAGGUGCAGUGCUGGCGACAGUGCCAGUGAGCGGAAGGCGCUCGGAGAGGUUCACAGCGACGCUCCCUUCCCCCAGCCGUCCCCCACCCGGCCCUCUCACGCCACGACAGCGCCACGGGCAGACGCUGUGUCUGUGGCAACCAAAUGGAGGGUGUGGCUGGUUUUCCUGAGGACCGGAGCUGGCCUGUGCUGGGAGCCGCCUGGGGAGCAGACCGGCCUGGCAGCCAAAGGACUCAACCUGCCCAGAUGA
rnacentral:lncRNA from 1 species